rnacentral:rRNA from 1 species
UACGGGGGGGCAAGCGUUGUUCGGAAUUACUGGGCGUAAAGGGCUCGUAGGUGGCCAACUAAGUCGGACGUGAAAUCCCUCAGCUUAACUGGGGAACUGCGUCCGAUACUGGAUGGCUCGAGUUUGGGAGAGGGAUGCGGAAUUCCAGGUGUAGCGGUGAAAUGCGUAGAUAUCUGGAGGAACACCGGUGGCGAAGGCGGCAUCUUGGACCAACACUGACACUGAGGAGCGAAAGCAUGGGGAGCGAACGGG